CUAGAGAACCUAACACACACAGUCGCACCCCCAAGCAACAAAAUGCACACACUCACGCACAAAAGGAGAGUGACGAGCAAAUAGGGGAUAGGCAUCAAAUUUAUCCAAAAAAGCUCCAUUAAUCUACACUUGAAGACCACCCAACACACACAUUGAAAAAGAACAGCAGCCGCCGCCCUUGGACGUCCCCUCUCUCGUGCCUGCCUCACUCCCCUUGUCGCCGGCCAGCCGCCGGACUUCACAACCGGCGAGUCUGGUCGUCCACCACACCCCCUUCUUGAACCCAGAUGUUUCAACCUCUCUUCAACCCCCUAAAAAAACGAGCAAACCACCAAAGAAAUCAGCAGCAACCUGCGAAAAAAGAAAGGAAAACGUCGGGCCGGAAAUUUGUUUACGAUCUGACCGGAAAAAUUAAUCCGGCGACCACCAACUGGCGUCCCUCCCUACUGCCACCUUCAAAACCAGUCUUAGACCACCGAAAAACCACCCUGAACCAAUGUAAAUCAGCUAGUCGAGCUGGGUCUGUUCGAGGUUGCGAUUCCGGUUGGAGUUUUCGGGUCCAUAGCUCGUAGAGGAUCACUGUUUUGCGGAUUGUCCCGUCCUUUGUAAUGCUUGAAAUUUUAAGCAAUAGAGGUGUGGAUCUACUUACCAGAGCUUGAGCAUGAUAGACGCCCCAGGACCAUCCAGUCAGGAUCACUGCAUUCAGGAGCUGCUUAAGGAGAUUUUUUUAAUGUUUUGAGUUUGUUUUUUUAUGUUGUCUUGUACUUUAUAGUCGUGUCCAGUAGUACUGAUUCUUUUAGUUGGUGUCAGAGUUUGUCGCAAUAUAGUUGAAUUUGUCGAGUCUCUCAUUAUCGUACUUCCUAUGAUGCAUUUGAAAACCAAAAAAUUUAUAAAUAAAAAUCCAAAAGA